UACGUAGGAGGCAAGCGUUGUCUGGAAUUACUGGGCGUAAAGCGCGUGUAGGUGGUGGGACAAGUCUGCUGUGAAAGCGCCUGGCUUAACCGGGCGAGGUCGGCGGAAACUGUCCGACUAGAGGACGGUAGAGGGGGGUGGAAUUCCCGGUGUAGUGGUGAAAUGCGUAGAGAUCGGGAGGAACACCUGUGGCGAAGGCGGCCCCCUGGGCCGGCCCUGACACUGAGACGCGAAGGCGUGGGGAGCGAACGGG
rnacentral:rRNA from 1 species